rnacentral:rRNA from 1 species
UACGGAGGGAGCUAGCGUUGUUCGGAAUUACUGGGCGUAAAGCGCACGUAGGCGGCUUUGUAAGUUAGAGGUGAAAGCCCGGGGCUCAACUCCAGAACUGCCUUUGAUACUGGCGAGCUUGAGUUCGGGAGAGGUGAGUGGAACUGCGAGUGUAGAGGUGAAAUUCGUAGAUAUUCGCAAGAACACCAGUGGCGAAGGCGGCUCACUGGCCCGAUACUGACGCUGAGGUGCGAAAGCGUGGGGAGCAAACAGG